UUAUUGAAACUUCGGUCGAUUUAAUUUAAUUCUAGUGGCGGACGGGUGAGUAACGCGUGGGUAACCUGCCUUAUACAGGGGGAUAACAGUCAGAAAAAGCUGCUAAUUCCGCAUAAGCGCACAGAGCUGCAUGGCUCAGUGUGAAAAACUCCGGUGGUAUAAGAUGGACCCGCGUUGGAUUAGCUUGUUGGUGGGGUAACGGCCCCCCAAGGCGACGAUCCAUAGCCGGCCUGAGAGGGGGAACGGCCCCAUUGGGACUGAGACCCGGCCCAGACUCCUUCGGGAGGCGGCAGUGGGGAAUAUUGCACAAUGGGGGAAACCCUGAAGGAGCGACGCCGCGUGAAGGAAGAAGUAUCUCGGUAUGUAAACUUCUAUCAGCCGGGAAGAUAGUGAC
rnacentral:rRNA from 1 species